GGGAGAAUUUGAAGAAACAACCCUUGGCUGUCUGAGAAAAAAAAAAAAAAAAAAAAAAAAAAAAAA
rnacentral:snoRNA from 1 species